rnacentral:rRNA from 1 species
UAGAGUUUGAUCAUGGCUCAGGACGAACGCUGGCGGCGUGCCUAACACAUGCAAGUCGAGCGAUUCAGAAGUCGGAUAUCAAUCCGACCUCUGGAUAGCGGCGGACGGGUGAGUAACACGUGGGUAAUCUGCCCUACGGACCGGGAUAACACACCGAAAGGGGUGCUAAUACCGGAUAAAGUCAUCAUAUGGCAUCAUAAGAUGAAGAAAGGAGAAAUCCGCCAAAGGAGGAGCCCGCGUCCCAUUAGUUAGUUGGCGGGGUAAAAGCCCACCAAGGCGACGAUGGGUAGCCGGCCUGAGAGGGUGAACGGCCACACUGGAACUGAGACACGGUCCAGACUCCUACGGGAGGCAGCAGUGGGGAAUAUUGCGCAAUGGGGGGAACCCUGACGCAGCAACGCCGCGUGAGCGAAGAAGGCCUUCGGGUUGUAAAGCUCAAUAGUAUGGGAAGAUAAUGACGGUACCAUACGAAAGCCCCGGCUAACUACGUGCCAGCCGCCGCGGUAAUUCA